UACGUAGGUGGCGAGCGUUAUCCGGAAUUACUGGGUGUAAAGGGAGCGUAGGCGGCGAGGUAAGCCUGAAGUGGAAGCCCGCGGCCCAACCGCGGAACUGCUUUGGGAACUGUUUUGCUGGAGUAUGGGAGGGGUAAGCGGAAUUCCUGGUGUAGCGGUGAAAUGCGUAGAUAUCAGGAGGAACACCGGUGGCGAAGGCGGCUUACUGGACCAUAACUGACGUUGAGGCUCGAAAGCGUGGGGAGCGAACAGG
rnacentral:rRNA from 1 species